rnacentral:rRNA from 1 species
CAGUCGCCGCGGGAAUACGAAGGGUGCAAGCGUUAAUCGGAAUCACUGGGCGUAAAGCGUGCGUAGGCGGUUUGUUAAGUCUGUUGUGAAAUCCCCGGGCUCAACCUGGGAAUGGCAAUGGAUACUGGCAAGCUAGAGUGUGUCAGAGGAUGGUGGAAUUCCCGGUGUAGCGGUGAAAUGCGUAGAGAUCGGGAGGAACAUCAGUGGCGAAGGCGGCCAUCUGGGACAACACUGACGCUGAGGCACGAAAGCGUGGGGAGCAAACAGGAUUAGAUACCCCUGUAGUCCCUGUCUCUUAUAC